rnacentral:misc_RNA from 1 species
AGAAAAAUAUGUUGUCACAAAGUUUCAAAAACUUGUCGAAUUGGUGGUAAAUUCUCUGCACUGUAAUAAUACCAGUUUCGAAAAAAGAAAAGAAAAAGGAACUCUGAAUAUCAUACCACUUCUACAUGUGCUAUCAUCAAAUGAAUGCUCAUCAUUAAUUUGCCUUUUAAAGUGACUCAUGCAGUGUUGCCUCCCAAAAAGCAUUGUCGUGUAACGUUUCUGUUACAGGGUUUUCCCACUGCAUAUAAACUAUUCCAUAAUUGUCAGGUAGGAUUGGAUCAUGUAAAAAAGUAAUAAUAAACUCAUCUCAUGCAGUGUUGCCUUCCCAAAAAGCACUGUCGUGUAACGUUUCUGUUACAGGGUUUUCC